CAGCCAAAUCUUGACCCUCAAUUGUAAUAGUUUUAAUCCUGACCGUAUAUAUAAUUUUAGUGAAUACCAAUUACCGGUAGAGCAAGUUUCCAUAUAAAAGCAAAAGCAAAACCUAAAAAAACCAAAACAGCUCUGUUUCUCUCUUGCGUUCACUCAAUUCUGUGGGCGAACCAAGCUUUGUGUCCAUCGAUCUCCUUCCCGCGUUCCUUGGAUUUGCUAACUGGUAAAGGCAAGGAUCAAAACUAAACGCUAAUUUCCAAAUGAUCAGUUUGGCUACAUAUCACUCCUCUCUCUAUUUGAUUUUGAGAUCGUCGAAUAUGGGUAUUGGGUUGAGCUUUGCGAUGAUGAUGAGUUUCUUGUUCCAGCCACUUGUGAUGGGAUUUGGUUAGUUGGUUUCCAUCUAGGUUCUCUUAUUAAUGUAUUUUUUCUCUCUAAUUUGUGAAAUUUACUCUGAAUGCUUUAGGGACUAUAUUUGUUAAGUGGUACUCUGAAUUCAAAACUUUGUGAAUCUGGUGAAAGCGUAGAUGGUCUUAUGUGUAUGAUGAUAAACUGGGCUUUAGGUGUUUGCCAUUGCUUUACUGGUUUUGUAGGAAGUGCUUACAAGUCUUGAGGGCACAUUCAGUGCAAAAGAGAAUUGGAAAUCUGCUUCUUAGAUUACACUCGCAGAAAUUAGUUGUGAUAACUUAUGUUCAUUACUUUUGACUUUUAUGUUAUGGUUGAUAAUGUCUUGGGCAUCAUUUUAGCUAAUAAAUUUAAUUGGGUCAUCAAUUAUUUUUAUUUUCAAUUGUUUAGAAAAGUUGGUAUUGGCAAGUUGGCACAUAAUGUGAAUUAGAAUGCUCACCUGUGCAUUUUAUAGUGGUGGAAGGGUUCUGCAAGUUUGUCACAAUUGGACAUUAAUGUCAUGGAGAACUUUUUUUUUUUUUUUUUUUGCAUGCUUUCUAACAUAAUUAACUUUACUCCAUCUCUUGUAUAAAACCUUGACAUUGAAGGACUUCUAGGAAUAUCUGUUUGAAUGUAAAAAUGUUGACUUGGUGUAGUUGUUGAGGGUUUGAAUGAUCUAAUUAUUUUUAUUGAUUAGUCUAUGAGUCUGUAAACUUUAGGAGCAAUACCAAGAUCUUUGGGUUCCAACAUUAAAGUUCAGAGUUGUCAAAAUAUGACUUGAUUAUUGAUAUUCAGUUAUACUAUUGGCUGAGGACAAUAGCAAAAAUAUUUUAUUUUUGUGUGUAGUAUCAUGUAAUGUCUAAAUUUUGGAGAUACUACUACUAUGUGUGUUGGACUAUGCCCUCAUUUGAUUCUCUGGUUUGACAUAUUUUGAUUAUGUUUUUAUUUCAUAGAUUUGGCUAUUUUUACUUAGUUCCUUUUUUCCCCCUUACUAGGGAGAUGUAGAUAGUGCACUGGAGCAGAAGUCCGACAAUAAUAGAUUAAAGGGAAGAGAGAAUCAAGUUAUCUCUGUGUUUAAGGAAUUCUGUUAAGAGAAAAGAGAGUGUCGUCUAAGGUUGUUGAGUACUGCCAAUCAGUUAUUCAAAACAUUGAUAGCUUUAGCUCUUUCAUGUCUUGUUAUUUAAUUUUGGUUGUUCAACAAUUGUUAGUAUCAAGUUAUGAUAUUUUGCACUCAAUGUUGAACUCAGAUAUUUAAAAUAUUAGCAAAAAUUGAGGUAAAUACCAAGUCUUGAAUUUUAUUUC